CAUAUUUUGUGGGGGAAGUUCUACCCUGUCUUUUGGAUGCUGUCAAAAGUGUGGGAUAGUUAUUUUAAUCCAAUGGGCUAGAUACUUGAAUGACUCUGUCUAGGUAGAGUCACGAUCAAUCUAAUUGCUAUCAUCAAUUACAAGGCGAUGAAUUGGGAGGGUAGAUCCUCCAAUGCGUUAGAACUAGAUAGAGAGUCAUAGAUGUACAAGUUAUUAGGUUACUAUGGCACGUAGAUAGAUAAUCAAGAAUAAGUUUAAGUUACUUACCGGUGAGUAGGUAAUUAUAUGAUUUAUUGUGAGUUUGCAUGCAGUUAUUUGAUUUUCCUUGGGAAGCUGGCUUUCCCAUAUACAUACUUCGUAGUUUCCUUUUGCAUCACUGGAUGACUUAAAAUUUAUUAAUCCUGUAUAUGUCUCUUUACAGAUGUAUUGAAAUUGGCUCAACAUGUUAAAGUGAGGCAAAGGGUCGUGGCUACUGCAAUUGCAUAUAUGAGACGUGUUUACACCA